rnacentral:rRNA from 1 species
AACGAACGCUGGCGGCAUGCCUAACACAUGCAAGUCGAACGAGACCUUCGGGUCUAGUGGCGCACGGGUGCGUAACGCGUGGGAACCUGCCCUUAGGUUCGGAAUAACUCCCCGAAAGGGGUGCUAAUACCGGAUAAUGUCUUCGGACCAAAGAUUUAUCGCCUUUGGAUGGGCCCGCGUUGGAUUAGCUAGUUGGUAGGGUAAAAGCCUACCAAGGCGACGAUCCAUAGCUGGUCUGAGAGGAUGAUCAGCCACACUGGGACUAAGACACGGCCCAGACUCCUACGGGAGGCAGCAGUGGGGAAUAUUGGACCAUGGGCGAAAGCCUGAUGCAGCAAUGCCGCGUGAGUGAUGAAGGCCUUAGGGUUGUAAAGCUCUUUUACCCGGGAUGAUAAUGACAGUACCGGGAGAAUAAGCUCCGGCUAACUCCGUG